GCCGGUGUAGCUCAGUUGGCAGAGCAGGGCUUUCGUAAAGCUCAGGUCGGUGGUUCGACUCCACUCACCGGCUCCG
rnacentral:tRNA from 1 species